CUCGAUCCCCAAUCCCACCCUUUUCUCUCGCUACCCUGAAAUAGAGUGCGCCGCUCGCCCCGACCUAAACCUAAUCCAGUGCGCCUCCUCCCCAACCUGCACGCCGCCGCCCGUCCCUUGACCCCCGCCCCCUCGCGCCACACGCCUCCCAUCAUCCGCUCAGGAGCAGCAGCGCCUUCCGCCGCGUAGAGGAGCAGCCGCGCCAUCCGCCGUGCCGAGUAGUAGCACCUACCACUGGGAAGGAGAAGCAACAAGGUCAACAAGGCCCACCGUCCGUCGAUGAUGAGAAGCAGCGCCGUCGCUUCUGAGGAGCCGCCGGCCGUUCUUCUUCCUCCACCGACGACACGUGUACCUCCAGAUCUCAACAAGUAAGCCGCAAAUCUUCCCGCUGCCCGCCCUUGUUCUCUCUCCAUUAUUGGCAACGAGGUCAAAUUACGGUUUUGAAAUUAGAUAAUACAGGAGAUUAAUCGAAGGGGAAAAGGAACAUAUGACCACCAGCUAGCAUAAGGAUUUCAUUUUCGGUGGUUUGAGGCAAGAUCCGCUCUUCCCUGCCAUGGAUUUUGAUGGAUAGCAGGUUCUGUUUGAAAGGAGAAGAGAUAAUGCAGGGAAGAAGAAGUCACUCAGUUUACUAGCCACUACUGACAUUGAUAUUAUGACCUUCCCAGGUUUAAGGGGCAUGGCAUGUUGGCACCAUUCGCUGUUGUAUGGCAGAGCAAUGAUGUGCAUCCAUUGGUUAUUGAGAGAUUUGAGGUUGCAACUCUCGAAUUAUAGCAUUAUAUAUGUUUACUUCUCAUGCAAUGCAGCGUUUGAUAUUGGAAAUGGCAGCUAAGACGUUCAUUACAGUAUGCUACGGUUGUAAACAAUGUAUCUAUGUUUUGCUUAUACAAUGUUAACCUAUAUAUGCAGGGUUCUUAUGUUUAUGACAUCAAUGGGAAUAAAUAUCCAGAUUCUCUAGUAGGACUGUGGUAUACAACUUUAGGUAUGUAAAGUACAAUCUUUGGAGUGUGAUUUUUGUGAUUAUGUACCAAAGAAUUGUUCAUUCUUUGGGAUAAUACCGCGCAUCACCAUUUUGUUUUUGCAUUUAAAAUUAAUGUAUAAAGUCUAAUUUGUAUUCUUUGAAGUACGUCUCUUAUUGACUAUUGAUUUGUGACCCCAAAUCUUUCCCUAAUAAUAAAGCACGGAUUGACUCCUUGGGUUCACAGUCACAAUACACUACUUCCCGUGAUUUUACGCUUUUAGUUUUUUUUCAUCUAUAUCAUUUUCUACAUCCGAGGUGGUACUAUUUUACGUGCGUAUCUUUACCUAAUAAUUAAGGACAGUAAUUUGGGCUGAGCCUUCCUUUCCUAAUAAAAAACAGAAACAUGAUGUGUGGCUGCACUAGGCCUGGUCUCCUUUCCUAUUUUUUCAUCGAUCUCCUUCUUCCAUGAUGAUUCUUUUCGGUAACCCUAAACCCUGCCGAUCAACCCGGUCUCCCACCUGAAAUCGAGUGCUUCACGACUCGGUCUCUCGCCCGUAGUCGAACUCCCUUUCCGUCGAGACGUUUCGUCUAGCUCCUCCCAUAAAUAGGUUGCCCGAGAGAACAUAACAGACGGAGCUGCCGGAUGAGCAAUGUAAACCAAGAAUGAUCUCACAGGCAAUUCAUCCGGGUGUGUGCCCUUGCCGAGGCCACAGCCGAGGCCAAGCCAACAGGCCCACAUCGUCGGGAGGUUUCUCGCAUUUGGAUUGGCUGCACCGGCAAGGUCAUCUAUAGUACGAUAGUUGACAACAAUGAGGAGAUCUUCAGGCUUCACCAUCUCCGAUACGGCGUUCACGUGGCCGUUAGCGGCGGAAGAUCCCUUGCUCAGCUAGAAAGGCACGCCAUCGUCAUGGUCGUUGAUAGCGUAUAGCGCAUGGGCUCAUCGACGUGAUGGCGGUGCCCGUUCCAGGGUGCUCUUGACGUCUUAGGAUGCCGAGCACGGCGGAGUGGACAGCCGGCCAUGGGUGCUGGCGGAAGGAGGAAUUGUCACCAUGUGUCAAUGGCUGCGGGGGAGGGUUCCUCAUAUACGGUCGCCCCCGCUCCAUCUCCAGAUAGCCGCAGCAGGAAUAGCACACUCCCUUGGACGAGGACGACAAGAAGCGGCAGAAGCGGCUGGCUGGAUGGAAGCCGUGCAGGCGGGCGGGCGGACGGCUCGGCUGAGGUGGCCGCAGCGGCCAGGGAUUAGGGAGGCGGCAACUCACUGCCUUAAAGUAAGAAGGAGGCCGACUUGGUACACGCACGUGUCCUCCGAGAAAAGAUAAGCAUCCAGAUCUCGUGCAGUUUAUUCCAUUGCUAAUGCUUGUCGGUCUAAUUUGUGGUUUUCCUGCUUAAUGGCGCUCAACUUGGUCGACGUUCCGGCCUUAGCUUCCCAUCCAUGCGGUCCAGUGGUGCCCGUUCCUCUGCUGUUUUGUUGCGAGGGCGUAGCUAGCUUCGAACGACGAGGCGUACAAGUGGGCCCUACAGGAUGACGACGAGCGCGAGGUCGCCGGGCGGCUCCUGACCCUCACUGAGAUCAUUGGUUGGGAAGAGAUGAGCAUGAUGUUGAAGAUGACGAAGGCGAGGAAGAUGGGGAUAGCGUGCAGUUGACAGUUCCAUCACAAUCAUUGUUUGUUGAUUUAUGUGUAUGCUUGGGCAAUUAUGCAGCUUUUACAUGAAGAUUAUAACCCUUCUAUUUUAUUCAGGUAUUGUCUUUUAUUCUAGAAUGCUUACACAGAAAAGAUUGCAGAGCUGUGAUUAAUUUGACUAAUCAGGAACAACGGCUCGAUAGUCUGGAUGGUGCCUUUUGAUUGUAUCCAGCAGUGACCACUUUUGCUUGUGGACUUUGGAAUGAAUCUGAUCUUUAACAACAGUGAGCAACUUGCAGUAUGGGGUUUCGGCAUUCUCUUGGCCACCUGAAUGGCUUGCAGAAGCUGUGCGGGCGAAGCUGACAGUUUGAGAUGGUCAUGUAUGAAAAUGAAUUUCACAGAUUCAACUUUGUGCCGGCAACUGUCAGCUUUCUCCUGCCAGUUGGUGUGGCAGGCGGAUCAGAUUAGAAGACUAGACGUGUGCAGCAGCUGGUCCUGUGAUGUAAAAUAAUAAUUCAAAUCGCCUAUGAGAUGUAUCCUAACAAUCCUGAAGAUCUCGGUGCCAACUCUAUAAUUCAAAUAAUAAUUCAGGGCCCCGUUUGAUAACAAAGUAUUUUUAAAGUAUUCUGGAAAUACUACAUUUUUUUAUGUUA